UACGUAGGGGGCAAGCGUUGUCCGGAUUCAUUGGGCGUAAAGAGCGUGUAGGCGGCCAGGUAGGUCGGUUGUGAAAACUGGAGGCUCAACCUUCAGAGGUCGACCGAAACCAUCUGGCUAGAGUCCGGGAGAGGAGAGUGGGAUUCCUGGUGUAGCGGUGAAAUGCGCAGAUAUCAGGAGGAACACCGGUGGCGAAGGCGGGUCUCUGGGCCGAUACUGACGCUGAGGAGCGAAAGCGUGGGGAGCGAACAGG
rnacentral:rRNA from 1 species